GUGACAGCGCAAACACAAAUGUGAUUUUUGGACGCCCGAUGAAGCGGCGGAUGGGAUGGAUAGCAUGGCUACGAGGGCGGGACACCCCGAGGAGGAGGACGACCGACGACGCAGCUGACGGGACGGUCGAUACUUUGUCAAACAAGGCGAACCAUUCUGCGGCUGUUGUGACUUAAUGUUAUAUUAUUAUUGUUUCGUUUGAACCUAUAUGGAGGCUGGCCUCGGUAUGAAACACUUUCUCUGUGAAAGGACAAAGCAGGAAUUCUUUGACACACAGCAGAGACAAAAACAAUACGUGUUUCUUCCCCUCUUCUGUUUCUUGUCCAAAAAUUUAAAAUGCCCAGGCAGUGUUUGCAUGAGUUUGUCUUCACGGGUGACGUAAAGUGAGAUACCCCCCCCCCCCCUCCCCACCCUUCCUCCUCUCUUUCUCCCUCCUUUCCUUUCCUCCUCAAGGAAAAGCAACUCUCACUUGAAUAUUUGGCCUGUGUUUGACCUUGUUCGGACCUCCUCUGGUAAAAGGUGGAACUAUAGGCGAGGCAGCAGAAAUGUGAGAUUAUAAUAUAUGUGUCAUAGGCUAUGCUGAACUUUUCUGGUCAGGAUAACCCGAUAUGUAGUGUCCAUAUGUGGUAAAUAUGUCAUCUUUAACACAGUGAACAACACAGUGAGCGAAGAAUAAAUGACAGUAACACGAGAACUGUAUGCGAUCCGGUACGGGCACGUGUAAAAUAUGUUUAUACACAAGAAACAUGCAUUAUUUUUAUUAUUUAGUGGCUUUAUGCCUUGUGAGGAAUUUGUUCAUUUUGUAUUUUACUUUAUUUCCGUGUAUUAAAAAACCAUGUGCUUUCUGUAUGUAAUUUUAAUGUUUUUAUAACAGUGAAAGUGAACUUAACUGAGGCACCGGUUUCUUAAAAAAAAGAGAAUACUCAUGAAAUUGUUUUACUUUUUCCAUCACAUGUGAAACGUGAAUCCACUUAAACAAAAUGUUUUUCGUUCCUAUAAUAAAUUAACUAAAGUUUCA
ensembl:lncRNA